AAUCAGAGAUUUAGACACAAAGUUUCUCUAUAUAGCUAAGAGUAGAUCAGUACAAUGAAUUAUUUCCUAUAAUUCUACAAGUGUCAUUAAGUUAAAAUAAGAUUCACUAGUAUAUCCUAAGCUGUUAUAGAUAUACAUACUUUUAGUACAUUUUGAAGCAAGAGCUUUAAUUCUUAUGUAUCUAAUUCUGUGUAUCUUCUAGUAAUUGUUUUUAAACAAAGGAAAAUUUUUUAAACAUGUACAAAGCAAUAAUUAAGAGUGAUAUAUGAACUGUGUAUACUACUAUAUAUCUAGUCAUCAAGAUAAUGUACGCAUCAUAAAUAUGUGAUAUGGUUUUUAUGUAUAAGAGGAAUUUAUUGUGACUUGAAUGUGAGAUAAAGGGAAAAAUAAUAAAUGCUGUAAUCCUGAAGCAGAUAUGACAUUAUUGUAGACUUAAUUUUUUUGAAAUGACUGGUAUUGUUGCUUUUUAUCUAUAAUGAAGAAUUAAUUUUGAUGGAUAUUAAAGUAUUGUAUUAUAAAAACUGUAGGUACAAUUUAAAAAACGCUAUUAAUAUUUUUAUCUUUCAAAAUAUUGGUAGUUAAUGGAAAUAUCUUUAAUGUGUAAACAUAUCAGUUAAAAAAUGCUUCUUUUAAACCUUUUUGAAAAUAGAAAAAUCUUUGCCAUAACAACAUGUACAACAAGAAUCUGUAGCCUGGAAUUUGAUAAAAAUCUUGAAAACAGAAUUUUAUAAGUCAUAAAUAUUGAUUGUAUAAGUCAUAUGGAUUUAGAAAAAAAGAACUGAUGAUAAAUUGUAAGAAAGUUGUUUGUGUGAUGUGUAUGAUACAAUUGUUUGUGUUUUGUAUACAAAUCAAUAAAUACUUCAAGAACUUU
rnacentral:misc_RNA from 1 species